GGGGAAUUUUGGACAAUGGGGGAAACCCUGAUCCAGCCAUCCCGCGUGUGCGAUGAAGGCCUUCGGGUUGUAAAGCACUUUUGGCAGGAAAGAAACGUCGCGGGUUAAUACCCCGCGGAACUGACGGUACCUGCAGAAUAAGCACCGGCUAACUACGUGCCAGCAGCCGCGGUAAUACGUAGGGUGCAAGCGUUAAUCGGAAUUACUGGGCGUAAAGCGUGCGCAGGCGGUUCGGAAAGAAAGAUGUGAAAUCCCAGAGCUUAACUUUGGAACUGCAUUUUUAACUACCGGGCUAGAGUGUGUCAGAGGGAGGUGGAAUUCCGCGUGUAGCAGUGAAAUGCGUAGAUAUGCGGAGGAACACCGAUGGCGAAGGCAGCCUCCUGGGAUAACACUGACGCUCAUGCACGAAAGCGUGGGGAGCACACA
rnacentral:rRNA from 1 species